rnacentral:rRNA from 1 species
GACGAACGCUGGCGGCGUGCUUAACACAUGCAAGUCGAACGGAAAGGCCCUGCUUGCAGGGUACUCGAGUGGCGAACGGGCGAGUAACACGUGGGUGAUCUGCCCUGCACUUCGGGAUAAGCCUGGGAAACUGGGUCUAAUACCGGAUAGGAGCCAUUUUUAGUGUGAUGGUUGGAAAGUUUUUUCGGUGUAGGAUGAGCUCGCGGCCUAUCAGCUUGUUGGGGGGGUAAUGGACUACCAAGGCGGCGGCGGGUAGCCGGCCUGAGAGGGUGGCCUGCGAUACUGAGACUGAGAGGCGGCAGAGACACCGACGGGUGGGAGCAGGGGGGAAGCUUGAACAAGGGGCGCAAGCCGGAUGCAGCGGGUCCGCGGGUCGGAUGACGGUCUUCGGGUUGAAGACUACAUGCGCUAGUGACGGAGCUUUUUGUGACGGUACCUAGAUAAGAAGCACCGGCUAACUACGUG